CCUGACCCUGCAGCUCUGCACAGGAGCCCAGCCCUGGACUCCCAGCUCAGCCCACUCAGUGAUCAGGACUGAACACAGCUGCUCACCAUGGAGAGUGUGCUCAGCUGGGUUUUCCUGGUGGCUGUUUUCAAAGGUGUCCAGUGUGAGGUGCAGCUGGUGGAGUCUGGGGGAGGUCUGGUGCAGCCUGGGGGUUCCUUGCCACUCUCCUGUGCAGCCUCUGGAUUCACCUUCAGUAACUACUGGAUGCACUGGGUCCGCCAGGCUCCAGGGAAGGGGCUGGAGUGGGUUGCUCUUAUAAAACACAAAGCUAAUAGUUACAGCACAGUAUACGCUGCGUCAAUAAAAGACCGAUUCACUAUCUCCAGAGAGGACGCCUAGAACACCCUGUACCUGCAAAUGAGCAGUCUGAGAACUGAGGACACAGCCAUCUAUUA